AGCGAACGUUUGCGGCGGGCCUAACACAUGCAAGUCGAACGCACUAGCAAUAGUGAGUGGCGCACGGGUGCGUAACACGUGGGUAAUCAACCCUUCAGCCUGGGAUAACGACUCGAAAGGGUCGCUAAUACCGGAUACGGCGCGAGAGGCUUCGGCUUCUCACGAGAAAGCCACGCAAGGGGCACUGAAGGACGAGCCUGCGGCCCAUCAGCUAGUUGGUGAGGUAAGAGCUCACCAAGGCUAAGACGGGUAGCUGGUCUGAGAGGAUGAUCAGCCACACUGGAACUGAGACACGGUCCAGACUCCUACGGGAGGCAGCAGUGGGGAAUAUUGCGCAAUGGGCGAAAGCCUGACGCAGCCACGCCGCGUGAGCGAUGAAGGCCUCGGUCGUAAAGACUCUGUGGGAGAGACGAAGAAAGACCUGUGAAGAGCAGGCCUUGACGGUAGUCUCCUUA
rnacentral:rRNA from 1 species